rnacentral:rRNA from 1 species
AACGAACGCUGGCGGCAUGCCUAACACAUGCAAGUCGAACGAGACCUUCGGGUCUAGUGGCGCACGGGGGCGUAACGGGGGGGAAAAUGCCCUUAGGUUCGGAAGGACGCCCCGGAAGGGGUGCGAAUACCGGAGAAUGUCUUCGAACCAAAGAGUUAAUGCCUUUGGAUGGGCCUGCGUGGGAUUGGCUAGUGGGGAGGGUAAACGCCUCCCAAGGCGACGAUACAUAGAUGGUUUGAGAGGAUGCUCAGCCACACUGGUGCUGGGACACGGCCCAGAAUCUUGCGGGAGGCAGCAGUGGGGAAUAUAGCAAUAUGGGCGGAGGCCUGAACCAGCAAGGCCGCGUGAGUGAUGAAGGCUUUAGGGUUGUAAAGCUAGUUUACACGGGAUGAUAAUGACGUUACCGGGAGAAUAAGCUCCGGCUAACUCCGUG